rnacentral:rRNA from 1 species
GAUGAACGCUAGCGAUAGGCCUAACACAUGCAAGUCGAGGGGCAGCAUAAGGAAGUAGCAAUACUUUCUGGUGGCGACCGGCGCACGGGUGAGUAACACGUAUGCAACCUGCCUUCAACAAGGGGAUAACCCGUUGAAAGACGGACUAAUACCCUAUAACACAGGGGUCCCGCAUGGGAAUAUUUGUUAAAGGACAACCGGUUGAAGAUGGGCAUGCGUUCCAUUAGCUAGUUGGCGGGGUAACGGCCCACCAAGGCAACGAUGGAUAGGGGAACUGAGAGGUUUACCCCCACACUGGUACUGAGACACGGACCAGACUCCUACGGGAGGCAGCAGUGAGGAAUAUUGGUCAAUGGACGCAAGUCUGAACCAGCCACGUCGCGUGAAGGAAGACGGCCCUACGGGUUGUAAACUUCUUUUAUACGGGAAUAAAGUGCCCCACGCGUGGGGUUUGCAUGUACCGUAUGAAUAAGGAUCGGCUAACUCCGUG